GACACUAUGUGUUGUUGGGUAGGGGAGCGUUCUGUAAGCCUGUGAAGGUGUGUCGUGAGGCAUGCUGGAGGUAUCAGAAGUGCGAAUGCUGACAUAAGUAACGAUAAAGCGGGUGAAAAGCCCGCUCGCCGGAAGACCAAGGGUUCCUGUCCAACGUUAAUCGGGGCAGGGUGAGUCGACCCCUAAGGCGAGGCCGAAAGGCGUAGUCGAUGGGAAACGGGUUAAUAUUCCCGUACUUGGUGUUACUGCGAAGGGGGGACGGAGAAGGCUAUGUUGGCCGGGCGACGGUUGUCCCGGUUUAAGCGUGUAGGUGUGUGUUCCAGGUAAAUCCGGUUCACUUUAACACUGAGGCGUGACGACGAGGCACUACGGUGCUGAAGCAACAAAUGCCCUGCUUCCAGGAAAAGCCUCUAAGCAUCAGGUAACAUCAAAUCGUACCCCAAACCGACACAGGUGGUCAGGUAGAGAAUACCAAGGCGCUUGAGAGAACUCGGGUGAAGGAACUAGGCAAAAUGGUGCCGUAACUUCGGGAGAAGGCACGCUGACACGUAGGUGAAGUGAUUUACUCAUGGAGCUGAAGUCAGUCGAAGAUACCAGCUGGCUGCAACUGUUUAUUAAAAACACAGCACUGUGCAAACACGAAAGUGGACGUAUACGGUGUGACGCCUGCCCGGUGCCGGAAGGUUAAUUGAUGGGGUCAGCGCAAGCGAAGCUCCUGAUCGAAGCCCCGGUAAACGGCGGCCGUAACUAUAACGGUCCUAAGGUAGCGAAAUUCCUUGUCGGGUAAGUUCCGACCUGCACGAAUGGCGUAAUGAUGGCCAGGCUGUCUCCACCCGAGACUCAGUGAAAUUGAACUCGCUGUGAAGAUGCAGUGUACCCGCGGCAAGACGGAAAGACCCCGUGAACCUUUACUAUAGCUUGACACUGAACAUUGAGCCUUGAUGUGUAGGAUAGGUGGGAGGCUUUGAAGUGUGGACGCCAGUCUGCAUGGAGCCGACCUUGAAAUACCACCCUUUAAUGUUUGAUGUUCUAACGUGGACCCGUGAUCCGGGUUGCGGACAGUGUCUGGUGGGUAGUUUGACUGGGGCGGUCUCCUCCUAAAGAGUAACGGAGGAGCACGAAGGUUGGCUAAUCCUGGUCGGACAUCAGGAGGUUAGUGCAAUGGCAUAAGCCAGCUUGACUGCGAGCGUGACGGCGCGAGCAGGUGCGAAAGCAGGUCAUAGUGAUCCGGUGGUUCUGAAUGGAAGGGCCAUCGCUCAACGGAUAAAAGGUACUCCGGGGAUAACAGGCUGAUACCGCCCAAGAGUUCAUAUCGACGGCGGUGUUUGGCACCUCGAUGUCGGCUCAUCACAUCCUGGGGCUGAAGUAGGUCCCAAGGGUAUGGCUGUUCGCCAUUUAAAGUGGUACGCGAGCUGGGUUUAGAACGUCGUGAGACAGUUCGGUCCCUAUCUGCCGUGGGCGCUGGAGAACUGAGGGGGGCUGCUCCUAGUACGAGAGGACCGGAGUGGACGCAUCACUGGUGUUCGGGUUGUCAUGCCAAUGGCACUGCCCGGUAGCUAAAUGCGGAAGAGAUAAGUGCUGAAAGCAUCUAAGCACGAAACUUGCCCCGAG
rnacentral:rRNA from 2 species